UACGUAGGGUGCAAGCGUUAAUCGGAAUCAUUGGGCGUAAAGCGCACGUAGGCGGUCUUGCAAGUCGGGUGUGAAAUCCCUCGGCUUAACCAAGGAAGUGCACUCGAAACUGCAAGACUUGAGUACUGGAGAGGGUCGCGGAAUUCUCGGUGUAGAGGUGAAAUUCGUAGAUAUCGGGAGGAACACCAGUGGCGAAGGCGGCGACCUGGUCAGAUACUGACGCUGAGGUGCGAAAGCGUGGGGAGCAAACAGG
rnacentral:rRNA from 1 species